rnacentral:rRNA from 1 species
GACGAACGCUGGCGGCGUGCCUAAUACAUGCAAGUUGAGCGCUGAAGGUUGGUACUUGUACCGACUGGAUGAGCAGCGAACGGGUGAGUAACGCGUGGGGAAUCUGCCUUUGAGCGGGGGACAACAUUUGGAAACGAAUGCUAAUACCGCAUAAAAACUUUAAACACAAGUUUUAAGUUUGAAAGAUGCAAUUGCAUCACUCAAAGAUGAUCCCGCGUUGUAUUAGCUAGUUGGUGAGGUAAAGGCUCACCAAGGCGAUGAUACAUAGCCGACCUGAGAGGGUGAUCGGCACAUUGGGACUGAGACACGGCCCAAACUCCUACGGGAGGCAGCAGUAGGGAAUCUUCGGCAAUGGACGAAAGUCUGACCGAGCAACGCCGCGUGAGUGAAGAAGGUUUUCGGAUCGUAAAACUCUGUUGGUAGAGAAGAACGUUGGUGAGAGUGGAAAGCUCAUCAAGUGACGGUAACUACCCAGAAAGGGACGGCUAACUACGUG